rnacentral:rRNA from 1 species
GUCUCCUUUUUCUAAUCAGUGAAACUAAUCUCCCCGUGAAGAAGCGGGGAUAUUCAUAUAAGACGAGAAGACCCCAUGGAGCUUCAAACCCAAUUACACCCCCAACUUCUAUAACUACUGAACUUUAAGGGCCCUGUACAAUUGGUUUUAGGUUGGGGCGACCACGGAGUACAAUAAAACCUCCAUAAUGAACGGAAUUAAAUCCUUAUCUAAGAAAUACACCUCUAAGAAUUAAAAUAUUAACAUAAAAUGAUCCACUUUUUGAUCAAUGAACCAAGUUACCCUGGGGAUAACAGCGCAAUCCAUUUCAAGAGCCCCUAUCGACAAAUGGGUUUACGA